rnacentral:rRNA from 1 species
AACGUAGGACACAAGCGUUAUCCGGAGUUACUGGGCGUAAAGGGCGUGCAGGCGGUUUCUUAAGUCAGGCGUGAAACCAUUCGGCUAAACCGGGUGUAGUCGUCUGAGACUGGGAGACUAGAGUGUGGUAGAGGCGUGUAGAAUUCCGGGUGUAGUGGUGAAAUGCGUAGAGAUCCGGAGGAACACCAGUGGCGAAGGCGACACGCUGGGCCGUACCUGACGCUAAGACGCGACAGCAUGGGGAGCGAACGGG